AUGGCUGCUUCCAGUUCCCGAUCUGCAGAAGAAACCUCCCAGGCGGCAAUUGACGUCCAUACGAUGAGGCCGCACAAUGAGGGAAGAGACUUUGAUAGUGGAGUUGGCAAUCCUGUUUUUUUGGACAGUGGUGUUUAUGAAGACAAGGCCCCAUUCUCCUUCAAGAGGGCAAAUACUACUGUGAAUGACAUAUCUAUUUUCUGCAUUGAUGAGCCUGACGAUGCCCCAUUAUCCUUCACGAGGGCAAGUACCUCUGUGAAGAACAGGCCAUCGGUUGUGAAUCCUACUAUGUUUGACAAUGAUAAUGACAAGGUCACGUUAUCCGUCAGGAGGGCAAGCACCUCUGUGAAGAACAAGCCCUCGGAUGUGAAUCCUGUUAUCUUUGGCAAUGAUGAGGACGAGGUCCCAUUAUCCUUCAAGAGGGAAAGUACCUCUGGGAAGAACAGGCCCUCGGUUGUGAAUCCUGUUAUGUUUGGCAUGAUGAGGACAAGGUCCCAUUAUCCUUCAAGAGGGCGAGUACCUCUGGGAAAAACAGGCCCUUGGUUGUGA
rnacentral:rRNA from 1 species